rnacentral:lncRNA from 1 species
AUGGAGUUGGUCGAGUUGAUGUUCAUCCACCUAGACUAUAAUAUUGUCAAGCGCAUACUCAAUCAUGAUCAACAACAUUUUGUCCAUCAAGCUAUGAACUCAUCCAACUCAUUGAUCAAUUCAAUCAAUGAUUGAUUGAAAAUAAAUUACGAAGUUAUUACAAAACGGUGACAAUGGACUUAUCUUUUAGAGUUUUGCUACAUGUACAUCGAGAUUGACAUUUUGGUAUAUACUCUCCUCA